GUGUCAGCAGCCGCGGUAAGACGGACCGUCCGAACGUUAUUCGGAAUUACUGGGCUUAAAGGGUGCGUAGGCGGUGCGGAAAGUUGGGUGUGAAAUCCCUUGGCUUAACCAAGGAACUGCGCCCAAAACUACCGUGCUCGAGGAAGGUAGAGGUGAGCGGAACAUCGGGUGGAGCGGUGAAAUGCGUUGAUAUCCGAUGGAACACCGGUGGCGAAAGCGGCUCACUGGACCUUUUCUGACGCUGAGGCACGAAAGCCAGGGUAGCGAACGGGAUUAGAUACCCCGGUAGUCCUGGCCGUAAACGCUGAGUACUUGACGCGAGACUCCUCCAUAGGUUUCGGGUCGUAGCGAAAGUGAUAAGUACUCCGCCUGGGGAGUAUGGCCGCAAGGCUGAA
rnacentral:rRNA from 1 species